AAGGAGCACCACGAAAAGCACUCCAAUUGGUGGGGUGCGAGCCGUGAGGGGUUCUCGUCUGUAGUGGACGGGAACCGGGUGCACAACAGCAAAUGAUUGCCAGACACACUAUUGGGCCCUGAGACAACACUCGGUCGAUCCGUGUGGAGUCCCUCCAUCUUGGUGGUGGGGUGUGGUGUUUGAGUAUUGGAUAGUGGUUGCGAGCAUC
rnacentral:misc_RNA from 1 species